rnacentral:rRNA from 1 species
GAUGAACGCUAGCGGCAGGCUUAAUACAUGCAAGUCGUGGGGCAGCACAGGUAGCAAUACUAGGUGGCGACCGGCAAACGGGUGCGGAACACGUACGCAACCUUCCCAAAACUGGUGAAUAGCCUUCCGAAAGGAAGAUUAAUACACCGUAACAUAAUGAAGUGGCAUCACUUUAUUAUUAUAGCUCCGGCGGUUUUGGAUGGGCGUGCGCCUGAUUAGGUAGUUGGCGGGGUAACGGCCCACCAAGCCUACGAUCAGUAACUGGUGUGA